rnacentral:lncRNA from 1 species
AACCAGAACCUGUUGCAAUUCACGGGGAGAUCAAAGGAUGAUCCGUGGUGGUGGAGAUGACGGCGGAAUUUGGCAACGAUCUCUUAAGCAAUUGUGGGAAUUGCUUUGGGCAGUUGUGGAGGGUUGAUGGAUGGCUGUGGAAGGGCAGCGAGAUGCUAAGAAUGUUGCUCUGAUACCAGGUGUUAGAACCCUUGCAGAUUCUAAACUUGGGGUU